rfam:Dichanthelium oligosanthes cultivar Kellogg 1175 unplaced genomic scaffold Do_version_2_scaffold319, whole genome shotgun sequence.
AAUAUACUCCCUCCGUCCCAAAUUGUAGUUCACUUUGGUAUGUAUCUAGACAUAUAAUAUAUCUAGGUACAUAUCUAAAGUGAACUACAAUUUAGGACGGAGGGAGUAUAAG